GUGAGGAAUAUUGGACAAUGGGCGCAAGCCUGAUCAAGCCAUGCCGCGUGCAGGAAGACGCAUCUAUGGUGUGUAAACUGCUUUUGUACGGGAAGAAACACUCCCUCGUGAGGGAGCUUGACGGUACCGUAAGAAUAAGGAUCGGCUAACUCCGUGCCAGCAGCCGCGGUAAUACGGAGGAUCCAAGCGUUAUCCGGAAUCAUUGGGUUUAAAGGGUCCGUAGGCGGUUUAAUAAGUCAGUGGUGAAAGCCCAUCGCUCAACGAUUGAACGGCCAUUGAUACUGUUAGACUUGAAUUACAAGGAAGUAACUAGAAUAUGUAAUGUAGCGGUGAAAUGCUUAGAUAUUACAUGGAAUACCAAUUGCGAAGGCAGGUUACUACUUGUGGAUUGACGCUGAUGGACGAAAGCGUGGGGAGCGAACAGGAUUAGAUACCCGGGUAGUCC
rnacentral:rRNA from 1 species